rnacentral:rRNA from 1 species
AGCCUGAUGGAGCAACACCGCGUGAGUGAAGAAGGGUUUCGGCUCGUAAAGCUCUGUUGUUAAAGAAGAACACGUAUGAGAGUAACUGUUCAUACGUUGACGGUAUUUAACCAGAAAGUCACGGCUAACUACGUGCCAGCAGCCGCGGUAAUACGUAGGUGGCAAGCGUUAUCCGGAUUUAUUGGGCGUAAAGAGAGUGCAGGCGGUUUUCUAAGUCUGAUGUGAAAGCCUUCGGCUUAACCGGAGAAGUGCAUCGGAAACUGGAUAACUGAGUGCAGAAGA